rnacentral:lncRNA from 1 species
CCCCUUAAAAAAAGGUCAAAUCUCUUCGGUCAAAAUGUAACAAAGUGCGCCGUAAUGACCCAAACAUUUUCCACUAUUUAAAACUUCUGUAAGUAUAAUAGUUUCUGAGAUUAUUCCAUAACAAGGUGAUAGGUCAAAGGUCAAGGUCAACAUACAAAUUUGACCUUGAGGUAUUUUUCAACAAUACAUCAAUUGAUGAUCAAUGGUGAAGAUCCUAGGUGUCUACGACUUACAGUUUCUGAGUUUUGGUGGUCAACCGACACCGGUAAAUUUUCAUAGGGGCAUAACCCUACCAAUGAGUCGUUGAAUCUUUUCGAUCCCAAUGUAACGAAGAACCGGGUCUGGUCCUGAACAAAUUUCACCCUUUGUUUUUUUCUACCUAUUACGGUUACGGUGUUGGAACGAUAACAAGGUUUUUGGUUUCGGAGGGAUAACUCCGAACCGACAAAAUAUUUCGACUCACAGGGUGAGUUCCAGAUAGGUAUUCAUGACACCGAUACAAAGUGUCAACAUGAAAGCGACACGUCUUACGGUUAACACGGCUAAAUUUGUCAAAGUUUGGCGGAAAAAGAAUAAUAAUAAUAAUAAUAAUAAUUAAAAUGUCAAUUGUUCUUGAACAAUUGAGAGGUCUUUCCUUUUAUAAUGUAAAAUAUAUGUUCAAAUAGACGUAGAAUGUAUUGAAAAGCUUUAAAAACACUGAAAAUCCUUUAAAAUAAGGUCAAAACACAUAAUUCGCUAUAUGGGACAUGACCUUGACCUUUGACCUUGUGACCUUUGUCAAGGUCAUUAGUCCCUGAUGUCAUUGCUGAAGACCCCAUGGGUCUAUGACCUUUGGUUAUAUAGUAAAAGCUGAUUUUGUCUUUUCAGAAACCUAAAUCAGGGGUUAUGCCCCGUACAGAAAGGUCAAAUCUCUUCGGUCAAAAUGUAACAAAGUUGCGCCUUAAUGACCCAAACAUUUUCCACUAUUCAAAACUUCUGUAAGUAUCAUGGUUUCUGAGAUUAUCCCAUAACAAGGUGUUAGGUCAAAGGUCAAGGUCAACAUACACAUUUGACCUUGAGGUAUUUUUCAAAGUCACAUGAAUUGAUGAUGAAUGGUGAAGAUCCUAGGUGUCUACGACUUUCGGUUUCUGAGUUUUGGUGGCCAACCGACACGGGUUAAUUUUCAUAGGGGCAUAACCCUACCAAUGAGUCGUUGAAUCUUUUCCAUCCAAAUGUAACGAAGAACCGGGGUCUGGUCCUGAACAAAUUUCACCCUUUGUUUUUUUUCUACCUAUUACGGUUACGGUGUUGGAACGAUAACAAGGUUUUUGGGUUCGGAGGGAUUACUCCGAACCGACAAAUAUUUUCGACUCACAGGGUGAGUUCCAGAUAGGUAUUCAUGACACCUAUACAAAGUGUGAAUAUGAAAGCGACACGUCUUACGGUUAACGCGGCUAAAUUUGUCAAAGUUUAACGGAAGAAUAAUAAUAAUAAUUAAACUGUCAAUUGUUCUUGAACAAUUGAGAGGUCUUCCCUUUUUUUAAUGUAAAAUACAUGUUCCAACAGACGUAGAAUGUAUUGAAAAGGUCAAGGUCAACCUUAAAAAGGUCGAAAACACACUAAAAAUCCUUUAAAUAAGGUCAAAAACACUAAAUUCGCUAUCUGGGACAUGACCUUGACCUUUGACCUUUUGACCUUUGUCAAGGUCAUUGAUCCCCAAUGCCAUUACUGAAGACCCCAAGGAUCUAGGACCUUUGGUUAUAUAGUAAAAGCUGAUUUUGUCUUUUCAAAAACCUAAAACAGGGGUUAUGCCCCUUAUAGAAAGGUCAAAUCUCUUUGGUCAAAAUGUAACAAAGUUGCGCCGUAAUGACCCAAUCAUUUUCCACUAUUUGAAUCCUCUGUAAGUAUUAAGGUUGCUUAGAUUAUACCAUAACAAGGUGUUAGGUCAAAGGUCAAGGUCAACAUACACAUUUGACCUUGAGGUAUUUUUCAAAGUCACUGAAUUGAUGAUGAAUGUGAAGAUCCUAGGUGUCUACGACUUACGGUUUUUGAGUUUUGGUGGCCAACCGACACCGGUUAAUUUUGAUAGGGGCAUAACCCUACCAAUGAGUCGUUGAAUCUUUUCGAUCCAAAUGUAACGAAGAACCGGGGUCUGUUCCUGAACAAAUUCCACCCUUUGGUUUUUUUCUACCUAUUAUGGUUAUGGAAUUUGAAUGAUAACAAGGUUUUUGGGUUUCGGAGGGAUUACUCCGAACCGACAAAAUAUUUCGACUCACAGGGUGAGUUCCGGAUAGGUAUUCAUGACACCGAUACAAAGUGUGAACAUGAAAGCGACACGUCUUACGGUUACGGAGGCUAACUUCGUCAAAGUUUGGCGGAACAAAAAGAAUAAUAAUAAUAAUAAUCAGAAGAAAUACAGUAAGGUCUUUCCCUUUAGUAAAAGGAAAGACCUUAAUUAAACUGUCAAUUGUUCUUGAACAAUUGAGAGGUCUUUCCUUUUGUAAUGUAAAAUACAUGUUCUUAUAGAUGUAGAAUCUAUUGAAAAGGUCAAGGUCAACCGUACAAAGCUUGAAAACACACUUAAAAUCCAUUAUAUGAGGUUAAAAACACUAAAUUCGCUAUCUGGGACAUGACCUUGACCUUUGACCUUUUGACCUUUGUCAAGGUCAUUAGUCCCCAAUGUCAUUGCAAAAGACCCCAUGGGUCUAGGACCUUUGGUUAUAUAGUAAAAGCUGAUUUUGUCUUUUCAGAAACCUAAAACAGGGGUUAUGCCCCUUAUUAAAAGGUCAAAUCUCUUUGGUCAAAAUGUAACAAAGUUGCGCCGUAAUGACCCAAACAUUUUCCACUAUUUAAAACUUCUGUAAGUAUAAUGGUUUCUGAGAUUAUCCCAUAACAAGGUGUUAGGUCAAAGGUCAAGGUCAACAUACAAAUUUGACCUUGAGGUAUUUUUCAAAGAUACAUGAAUUGAUGAUGAUUAGUGAAGAUCCUAGGUGUCUACGACUUACGGUUUCUGAGUUUUGGUGGCCAACCGACACCGGUUAAUUUUCAUAGGGGCAUAACCCUACCAAUGAGUCGUUGAAUCUUUUCGAUCCAAAUGUAAUGAAGAACCGGGGUCUGGUCCUGAACAAAUUUCACCCUUUGUUUUUUGUCUACCUAUUACGGUUACGGUGUUGGAACGAUAACAAGGUUUUUGGGUUUCGGAGGGAUUACUCCGAACCGACAAAAUAUUUCGACUCACAGGGUGAGUUCCAGAAAGGUAUUCAUGACACCUAUACAAAGUGUGAAUAUGAAAGCGACACGUCUUACGGUUAACGGGGCUAAAUUUGUCAAAGUUUAACGGAAGAAUAAUAAUAAUAAUUAAACUGUCAAUUGUUCUUGAACAAUUGAGAGGUCUUUCCUUUUUUAAUGUAAAAUACAUGUUCCAACAGACGUAGAAUGUAUUGAAAAGGUCAAGGUCAACCUUAAAAAGCUCGAAAACACACUAAAAAUCCUUUAUAUAAGGUUAAAAACACUAAUUUCGCUAUCUGGGACAUGACCUUGACCUUUGACCUUUUGACCUUUGUCAAGGUCAUUAGUUCCCAAUGCCAUUACUGAAGACCCCAAGGGUCUAGGACCUUUGGUUAAAUAGUAAAAGCUGAUUUUGUGUUUUCAGAAACCUAAAACAGGGGUUAUGCCCCUUAAAGAAAGGUCAAAUCUCUUUGGUCAAAAUGUAACAAAGUUGCGCCGUAAUGACCCAAACAUUUUCCACUAUUUAAAACUUCUGUAAGUAUAAUGGUUUUUGAGAUUAUCCCAUAACAAGGUGUUAGGUCAAAGGUCAAGGUCAACAUACAAAUUUGACCUUGAGGUAUUUUUUAAAGAUACAUGAAUUGAUGAUGAUUGGUGAAGAUCCUAGGUGUCUACGACUUACGGUUUCUGAGUUUUGGUGGCCAACCGACACCGGUUAAUUUUCAUAGGGGCAUAACCCUACUAAUGAGUCGUUGAAUCUUUUCGAUCCAAAUGUAACGAAGAACCAGGGUCUGGUCCUGAACAAAUUUCACCCUUUGUUUUUUUUCUACCUAUUACGGUUACGGUGUUGGAACGAUAACAAGGUUUUUGGGUUUCGGAGGGAUUACUCCGAACCGACAAAAUAUUUCGACUCACAGGGUGAGUUCCAGAUAGGUAUUCAUGACACCGAUACAAAGUGUGAACAUGAAAGCGACACGUCUUACGGUUAC